ensembl:lncRNA
GUGUGCACGAGCUCGUGUCGGCUGGAGGGAGGUGUGGAUCCACUACCCUUUGCUAAGGGCCACCUUGCUUCCCCAUAGGCAGAUACGUGCUCUUGCACAUGGCCUGGCCAUCUGCAGUCUAAUUCACCCUGCAUCUCACCUGAUGCCAUACCUCCCUUCCCUAAAUAAAAGAGCUGGGAAGCAGCAUGGCAUUGAGAACCAGCCCUGGGUAGCAGAUCAGAGGAGCCUGAGCUCACAUGGUCACACUAGAUGUUAAGCAGGCUUAUUUCCCCUGUGCUCUCCCAUGCUGUCCCAUCUGCACAGGCUGGUAUCUGCAUCCUUGCUUCCUGUUGAUCACACACACUUCAGUGACCGCACUGAUGGCAUCCAUCAACCAGUCAAGGCUCUACAUGUCUCCAGACAGCCGUUAUUCCAAUUCCACAUCGCUACCCUGGAAAAAAAGUCCUCAGCUCCUCUCUAGAGAGGGGUGGGAAUCAAAACAUUGACAACAAUAUACGGCCACAGCUACUAAAGUAACUUUACUGAGGAUGGGCUCGUGCCUAGCUGUACCCUGUGCCCUUUCAGUUUGCCUGAAGAGGGCAUGUGGCUCCUCUGUUCCUGUCUAAACACACAGGAAACCGGCCAGCUGCAUGAUCUGACGCUCUAAAUUUGAGCAGCAUCUUCACUGCUUCAUCCUGCCUCUGCAGAGCAGGCAGCGAGCACGCACCUGCAGCUCCGGUUUUGCCUCUUGCUGAGGUCACCAGUUUGUCAUCCGCAGCCCUGAAUGCUGCGCAGCAAGGAGGAGCACGUCUGCGAGUGCAUUCCUGCAGAAGAGGGGAAAUGCAGGGUGGAGCAGCAACCAGCAGCUGACACUGUUUGCUAUGCACUUGCUCACCACGAGGCUCAGGACGCUGCCCGCUCCUUGAAUGUUUCCUUGAUUACUUAUUCCCAGCAUACUCACACACACAAACACACACUCACCCGCUUCUCUCAGAAGACUGGAAGGACGGGCUACCAGGAAAACAAUAGCAUUUCUCCCACUCGCAGCUGUGUGACAUUUGUUUUUGUUUCUCCAGGUGGCUUUUCUGUGCUAGCAGAACAUCUCACUCCUCAGAUUUUGACUUCUCUUGCCUCUUCUUGUCGGUGUUGGACACGGCCAUCAGUAGACACAGUUCUGAGCAAUCACCGAGGAAGACCCCAGUAGAGACACUCAUGGACACAAUUCACCUGGCUUCCCCAGUCUGUGCUAAUGAGUAUUGCGCUACUAAGGAAUAUGAAAGUGCCAUUGGCAGAGCCUCUCCCAGGGUACCCCUGCUCUUGUGACUGUGGUAUUCUCCUGGAAAAGAAGAAGGGUAGACAGGGAAGCAGAAGAGGGCAUUGAACAUCCUACGCAAGCACAUCAGGCAAACGCAUGUGCUAAAGUUCACAGAGAAUCCCAAAAUGAGUACUAACAGCAGAUCCAGUCUAUCUCAAUGAGUGUCUCCCAAAAAACAAACCUCACAGGACUGUGCCCCGUUGGCCACCAGACUAGAGGGACAGCCUCUCAGCUCCACUAUCCCCCUGACUCAUUCGCUUAUGUCAAUCAACUUGAAACAAAAUCAAAGACAAGUUUCCAUGUUUGUGGGUCUCCCGGAGAGGAAAAGGCAGUAAGCAUGUUUGCUGCUAUCCUUUUUCCUUUCAAAUGUUUGUAUUUCAUGAAUUACUCUUGCCACAAAAGUGUUCAUAGUAAAUGCAGAGGAAAGAACAAGAUUACCUGCUUUGAACGCCAUCAGAUUUACGCAUUUGGACAGGAUCUCAUCUGCCAGGUGGUAGAAGAACUUCUGAGUAACUACAAUGAAGUACCCAAGCCAAAGGUUUGGAAAAUUGAUCUGCAGGUAGUACUUAGGGUGACUUAUAUGCUCGUUCAGGCUGCUGUGCUGGUUUCGGGUAGGACAAAACACUCUUUUCUUCUUCUUUUUUUCUUCCAAAAACAUUGUCAGUUCCCUAUAGGCCUGCUCUGCAGGGCUCUAUGGCCAGUUUCCCUAUCGUCUUAAAACAACCCUCCAAACACCUGCUAUCUUUCAAACACCUUUUAUUUCGUGCGCCAUAGUAUGAAGUUUUUGUGUGGUUGUGGAAGUCC